AUUUUCGUUUGGUCUAAUGCACGUUUUAAUGUGAUAAACACAAUGCAUUUUUGUAGCUAGUUUUCUGGAAAACUUGAUCUUUCAGGAAUUGUUUUACAGAUUCUCAACGAUUUUUUUCUUUAAAUUAAAAAAAAAAAAAGGCCCCUAAUGAUCCUUCCUCUUGGUAUUCAUGCCUUUGUAUAAUCCCCUCUCCGUGAGUGUGGAUGUGACUUCUGACUCACCUCAAAUCAACAGAAUAUAGUAAAACUGAUAAGGUACAUGGGAUUCUGUAAUUAUAUUACAUCAGCUUAAAGCACCUAUCUUGCUGGAGUCUCUCUCCCCACUCCCAGUGGCUUUGAGGAAGAAAGUGGCCAUGUUAGGGAACCCCCAAGUGACAAAGAACUACAGGUGGCCUCUAGGAGCUGAGGGCAGCCUCAAGCCUGCAGUGGUCUCCAGCUGACUGCCAGCAAGAAAAUGAGGUCUCCAGUUCUUCAGCUGUAAGGAGCUGAUUUCUACCCACAAGCACCUGAGUUUGGAAGCAGAGGCUUCCCUCUUUGAGCCUCAGAUGAUGCUUCAGCCCAAAGGAACACCUUUAUUUCAGCCUUGGAGAAGACCCAGAUUCCUGACCCACGGAAACUGUGAGAAUGUGAGAAACUUGGGUCUGCCUAGGAGCACCAGUGGUGACCUGGCAUUGCAACAAGAUAGCAGGAGAGCUGAACAAGGCUAAUAGGUGAGGAUGAAGCCCACCAAACAGUAAACCCCUUCUGGGGUCUGCAAGGAACAAAAUGAUGUGGUUAUAAAUGAAGAUGUUGGAGACGUCUGCAGGUACCAGAUUCCUCUCUCUUCUGUCAAGCAGAAAAUGCAAGGCACCUGAGGCUGAUCCUUCCCAGAAA
rnacentral:lncRNA from 10 species